AUUGAACGCUGGCGGCGUGCCUAACACAUGCAAGUCGAGCGGUAACAGGUGUAGCAAUACAUGCUGACGAGCGGCGGACGGGUGAGUAACGCUUGGGAAUCUGCCUAUUAGUGGGGGACAACCCGGGGAAACUCGGGCUAAUACCGCAUACGCACUACGGUGGAAAGCCGGGGACCGCAAGGCCUGGCGCUAACAGAUGAGCCCAAGUCGGAUUAGCUAGUUGGUAGGGUAACGGCCACCAAGGCGACGAUCCGUAACUGGUCUGAGAGGACGACCAGUCACACCGGAACUGAGACACGGUCCGGACUCCUACGGGAGGCAGCAGUGGGGAAUAUUGGACAAUGGGCGAAAGCCUGAUCCAGCGACGCCGCGUGGGUGAAGAAGGCCUGCGGGUUGUAAAGCCCUUUCAGUGGGGAAGAAAAGCCUCGAGCUAACACCUCGGGGUCUUGACGUAACCCAUAGAAGAAGCACCGGCUAACUCUGUGACAGCAGCCGCAGUAAU
rnacentral:rRNA from 1 species